GAUUGCACAAGUGAAUGAUUGUAUAUAGUGGUAACACUUUUAAAUUUGUAAAAUUUAUUCGUGACUUUAGAUAACGCUUAAACAAAGUUUUUUGGUGACAUAUAAAUAAAUAUAUCUACAUUAUCUAUCAAUUCAAUCGAACAAAAUUUUAACGAAGAUGGCUCGGCGCUCUUGAACCCCGAUCUUGCAUGCGUAGCAGCUGGAUUUAUAUUAUUAAAGUUUUUGAAGAUUUUGAAUAAAUGGCAGGUUAGAAAAAAUGGGCGAAGAAAAAAAGGCCGAG